AUUUCUUUUUCUUUCUCCCCAACGCCGUGCUCUUACCCGUGCCGACGGUUUCCUCCCGAGCCCUUGCGACGCCGAUCUUUGCCCUACCGGCGCCGGUGCACCAAUUCUUCUCUUCUCAUUCUUCCUCCUAGAGCCGAUCUCCUCUCCCCCUCAUCCGUGCCGAGCCGUGCGCCGAUCACCGGCCACAGGAAGCCAGCACAUCGCCUGUGCCCUAGCGCCUCCCGACACCCUCUUUCUCUCCUCUGGCCGACGCGACGCCGCGAGCUUCCGCCGGCCGAACCCUUCUUCCCUCUGUGCUGCCAGAGCCGACCAUCACAGCCGACUUCCGUGCCCUAGUUUGGGUUCACAACCACCGACGCCGAAGACUCCCUUCCUCCUCUGACGGUGGACCUGAUCGGAGGCUGACAGAGGUGCUGGCUGGUUGUAGGUUUCCUUUUCCCGAGCCUAGACUUGAUCUUCUGUCACGUCUCUGGAGAUCGACAAGGAUUUGGAUGCGAGUAUAAGUAGAACAUGGGUGGCUGCAGUAUGGUGGGAGAUUUUUGGAUAAACUUGAGGAUAGGGAUUCGGAUUCAGGACGAGCACUUCGACAUAGAGGUUGAUUAGCUCGAUCUACAUCGGAAG